rnacentral:rRNA from 1 species
GUAGGUGGCAAGCGUUGUCCGGAAUUAUUGGGCGUAAAGCGCGCGCAGGCGGUUCUUUAAGUCUGAUGUGAAAGCCCACGGGCUCAACCGUGGAGGGUCAUUGGAAACUGGAGAACUUGAGUACAGAGGAGGAAAGCGGAAUUCCACGUGUAGCGGUGAAAUGCGUAGAGAUGUGGAGGAACACCAGUGGCGAAGGCGGCUUUCUGGUCUGUAACUGACGCUGAGGCGCGAAAGCGUGGGGAGCAAACAGGAUUAGAUACCCUGGUAGUCCACGCCGUAAACGAUGAGUGCUAAGUGUUAGGGGGUUUCCGCCCCUUAGUGCUGCAGCUAACGCAUUAAGCACUCCGCCUGGGGAGUACGGCCGCAAAGGCUG